rnacentral:tRNA from 1 species
GGAGAGAUGGCCGAGCUGGUCGAAGGCGCUCCCCUGCUAAGGGAGUAUACCCCAAAAGGGUAUCGAGGGUUCGAAUCCCUCUCUCUCCG